AUGAACGCUGGCGGCGUGCCUAAUACAUGCAAGUCGAGCGAACGGACGAGAAGCUUGCUUCUCUGAUGUUAGCGGCGGACGGGUGAGUAACACGUGGAUAACCUACCUAUAGACUGGGAUAACUUCGGGAAACCGGAGCUAAUACCGGAUAAUAUUUUGAACCGCAUGGUUCAAAAGUGAAAGACGGUCUUGCUGUCACUUAUAGAUGGAUCCGCGCUGCAUUAGCUAGUUGGUAAGGUAACGGCUUACCAAGGCAACGAUGCAUAGCCGACCUGAGAGGGUGAUCGGCCACACUGGAACUGAGACACGGUCCAGACUCCUACGGGAGGCAGCAGUAGGGAAUCUUCCGCAAUGGGCGAAAGCCUGACGGAGCAACGCCGCGUGAGUGAUGAAGGUCUUCGGAUCGUAAAACUCUGUUAUUAGGGAAGAACAUAUGUGUAAGUAACUGUGCACAUCUUGACGGUACCUAAUCAGAAAGCCACGGCUAACUACGUG
rnacentral:rRNA from 1 species